AGGAGCGGCGGCGGGCGGGCCGAGGCCACCUUCGCGCGGGGAGCGUGGAAUACAUGGGCCCUGGGAUCGCGUCACCAGCCAGCGACUGAACCUUGGCGGUGUGGGCCGAGGCGGGGAAGGCGGCAGCGGCGGCGACAGCUCUGGGGUUUGCGUCUCGGGGUGUGUCGGCCGCCGCUGCUGCUUGGGCUUGGUAUGUACAAAUGGCUGGUUAGGAUCCUCGGCACCAUUCUACGUUUCUGCGACCGCUCGGCGCCCCCUGCCCGGGCCCUGCUGAAGAGGCGGCGCUCGAACAGCUCCGUGUUCUCCACAGUGGACACUGAUGAAAUACCAGCUAAAAGACCAAGAUUAGAUUGCUUUCUUCACCGAGUGAAAAGCCAUCUCUACAAUGCUGCCAGCUUUUUUGGAUUCCCAUUCCAGCUGACCAGGAAGCCCAUGGUGACUUCUGCUUGUAAUGGGACACGGAAUGUGGCCCCUUCAGGAGAGGUAUUUUCGAACUCUUCAUCUUGUGAACUGACAGGUUCUGGAUCCAGGAACAACAUGCUGAAACUGGGUAAUAAAUCUCCUAAUGGAAUAAGUGACUAUCCAAAGAUCAGAGUGAUGGUAACGCGAGAUCAGCCACGGAGAGUCCUGCCUUCCUUUGGUUUUUCUUUGAACUCAGAAGGCUAUAAUAGAAGACCAAGUGGCCGUCGCCAUAGCAAAGGCACUGCAGAGAGUUCCUCCCUGUGGAGACCUCAGGAGCAGGCUGUCACCGAGAUGGUUUCUGAAGAGGGUGGCAAGGGGCUGAGGCGUCCCCACUGUACUGUGGAGGAAGGUGUUCAAAAAGAAGAACGAGAGAGGUAUCAGAGGUUAUUAGAGCGACUUAAAGAAGGUGGUCACGGAAGCUCUGUCCCUCCUGUAACUUCACACCAUCACAGUUCUCAAAGAAGUCAUGUGGACACUUUAAAGACCAAAGGCUGGGGGGAAGAGCAGAAUCACGGAGUCAGAGCAACUCAGUUUGUUCCGAAACAGUAUAGAGCCUUUGAAACAAGGGGACCUCUCUGUCCAGUGAGAAGUGAAAAAAGGUGUUCAAAGGGGAAAAUUUCUGAUACAGAGAAGAUGAUUGGAAUCAGACUUGAAAAUGAAGGUAGGAGGGGACACCAGCUGGAGCCCGAUCUAUCGGAAGAAGUGUCAGCCCGACUCCGCCUGGGCAGCGGAAGCAAUGGCUUUCUCAGAAGGAAAAUGUCAAUACUUGAGGCAAAGGAAAAGAAUUUCUCGGGCAAAGAGAGGGACAGAAGAGCAGAUGACCUCCUUGAACUGACAGAGGACAUGGAAAGGGAAAUCAGUUACGCCCUGGGCCACGGCCCACAGGAUGAGAUCCUGAGCAGUGCUUUCAAGUUGCGGAUUACUCGAGGAGAUAUCCAGACCUUAAAGAACUACCACUGGCUGAACGACGAGGUCAUUAAUUUUUACAUGAAUCUUCUAGUGGAAAGAAAUAAAAAACAAGGCUACCCAGCCCUUCAUGCAUUCAGUACUUUCUUCUAUCCUAAAUUAAAGUCUGGGGGUUACCAAGCCGUAAAAAGAUGGACCAAAGGAGUGAAUCUCUUUGAACAAGAGCUUAUCCUGGUGCCUAUCCAUCGGAAGGUGCACUGGGGCCUUGUGGUGAUGGACCUAAGAAAAAAGUGUCUUAAGUAUCUGGAUUCUAUGGGACAGAAAGGCCACAGGAUCUGUGAGAUUCUCCUUCAGUAUUUACAGGACGAAAGCAAGACCAAAAGAAACAUCGAUCUGAAUCUGUUAGAGUGGACCCGCUACAGCAUGAAGCCGCACGUCGUAGGGUCCCAUGGCAUGGUCAUCAGGAGUCAAGCAAGCUGCUUAUGAAUGUGCUUUGUAUCUUGCAAGACUUGAGCCUCAGUUCAUAGUUGGAAGGUGAUCCUGCCUUGAGUCCUACCAGCCUCCCUUUGAAGAGAUUCCUCAACAGCUAAAUGGGAGUGAUUGUGGAAUGUUUACUUGUAAAUAUGCGGACUAUAUUGCUAGGGACAAACCUAUCACAUUUACACAGCACCAGAUGCCUCUGUUCCGGAAGAAGAUGGUGUGGGAAAUCCUGCAUCAGCAGCUGCUUUGAGAAUGUUGCCCGCCUGCUCCGGCCACUGGCGGUCCCUUCCCAGCGGUCUCCACAUACCUCAGCAUCUUGGGCUACCAAGUCUCUGUGCCGCUUCUGUUCUCCCACAGGUACUGAGCUGUUGCCGUGCGUGGAGACAUCUUGGGGUGCGAGGGGCUGCUUGUGACCCUGACUGUAAGGCUGUGCCUGCUCGGAGCCCCGGACUGUUCAGCCUGCACAAGAGCAAACGCUACUCAAUGUUUUCUCGUUUUAAAGAGCCAUUUCCCUGGGAAUGUGGGAAAUGCAGGAUUCAUGCUAUGAAUUGUUUUUUCCGUGUAUUUGUUCACGUGUAUUCAUUUGCUCACUCGUUUGCAAACAUUGGGCAGUAGGCAUUUUCCAUUGCCUCUGACGGUUAACUCUAAAUGAUGUGCUUGAACUAUUUAUUUCUGAGAGGGAUGUCGAUCAAACUGCUGCUCCCUGCUGAAGGUCAGGAGGAACAGGUAGCUGCAGGGCAGGAUGGCAGAGGGCAGAAGUAACGCCAAGCGAGCGGUACCUGCCGCCCCGGAGUUAGAGUCUGGCUUCUGGGCGAGGCAGAAACCCCAUGGUGGGGCCUGGCUCGGAGCAAGUCCGACACGGCUGCGCUGGCGCCGUGCUGUGGCGAAGCGACUGUGGCCAAGGAGCUCUGCUCUCUGCGGGUCAGAAGUGUGGCGUGCUCAUCAGGUGGCACGGCUCACUCUUGAAACUGGAUUCCAAGUAACCAUAAACCCCAAAUCUUCACUUUUGUCCCAGAUCCGGUUGAGUGUAAACCUCGGAAUCAUAAGGGCUGGCCUGAGCUGUUAAAUAUUUGAGAAGAUACUAUUCGAUUUAAAGCUAUUUUUCCUCAAAGAUUUUUUUUCUAUAUAUUAAGCUAAAAUUAAGUUUUGUAUUCAUUACGAUUCACACCCCUCCCCUGUCCCCAGUGCCCCCACCGAAGUCUGUGGAAGAUUUAGUACUUGGCUCUGAGGUCACCAGUUAUAAUAGUCUAUUUUGCAUAUGAAAGUUUGUAUUUAACUUUUUGUUCAUUGACAACCUUACCGAUGUGGUUAUACGUUUUUAAUUUCAGAAAGGUUAGAGUUGGUCAGAACCUAUUUUGCAAGGUCUAGUGCCUAGUGUCGCUUUUAUGAUGUAAUAAAGGCCCUCUGGCAGAACCGCA